UACGUAGGGUGCAAGCGUUAAUCGGAAUUACUGGGCGUAAAGCGUGCGCAGGCGGCUUUGCAAGCCAGAUGUGAAAUCCCCGGGCUUAACCUGGGAACUGCAUUUGUGACUGCAUGGCUAGAGUGCGGCAGAGGGGGAUGGAAUUCCGCGUGUAGCAGUGAAAUGCGUAGAUAUGCGGAGGAACACCGAUGGCGAAGGCAAUCCCCUGGGCCGGCACUGACGCUCAUGCACGAAAGCGUGGGGAGCAAACAGG
rnacentral:rRNA from 1 species